rnacentral:lncRNA from 1 species
GCCCAGUUAUCAAAUUGUUCAGCAUUUAGGACUAAAGGGUUCAAAAUUGAACUUUAUUAGAUUUCUUCAAAAAUUGAAUUCUUGGGGUUCUUUGAUAUGCUGAAUCUUACCAUGUAUUUUGAUUUUGGAUAUUGGACCAUAAUAGGUAAAUGUCCAAUUUAAAAGUUCUUAGACCACAAUCAUUCUGUGUCAGAAACCUAUGUUGUGUCAACUAUUUAAUCACAAUACAAAUUCAGAGCUGUAUCAAGCUUGAAUAUUGUGUCCAUACUUGCCCCAACUGUUCAUGGUUCAACUUCUGCGGUCGUAUAAAGCUGUGCCC